rnacentral:lncRNA from 1 species
UUGAUCCAAGUAGCAAGUAGUCUAAUUGGAUUGGUUGCCAUGGUCAUCCGAUCAUAGGAGAAAAGUAGGGUUUAAAGGCCCUCUCCUCCCAUUCGAUGGGGUUCUCCUAUGAUGGUAGGGGUGCCGAGCGAUUACAUCCCAUGCGGAUGAAGCAGCGAAAGAACUUAAUUGUAAAGGUUCAAUUGUAAAAUUUAUCAUGAAUGUGUUAGAUU